rnacentral:rRNA from 1 species
GACGAACGCUGGCGGCGUGCCUAAUACAUGCAAGUCGAACGAGAGCGCCCGGUGCUUGCACUGGUCAAUCUAGUGGCGAACGGGUGAGUAACACGUGGGUAACCUGCCCAUCAGAGGGGGAUAACAUCCGGAAACGGAUGCUAAAACCGCAUAGGUCUUCGAGCCGCAUGGCUUGAAGAGGAAAAGAGGCGCAAGCUUCUGCUGAUGGAUGGACCCGCGGUGCAUUAGCUAGUUGGUGAGGUAACGGCUCACCAAGGCCGUGAUGCAUAGCCAACCUGAGAGGGUGAUCGGCCACAUUGGGACUGAGACACGGCCCAAACUCCUACGGGAGGCAGCAGUAGGGAAUCUUCCGCAAUGGACGCAAGUCUGACGGAGCAACGCCGCGUGAGUGAAGAAGGUUUUCGGAUCGUAAAACUCUGUUGUUAGAGAAGAACAAGUGCUAGAGUAACUGUUAGCGCCUUGACGGUAUCUAACCAGAAAGCCACGGCUAACUACGUG